rnacentral:rRNA from 1 species
UACGGGGGGGGUAAGCGUUGUUCGGAAUUACUGGGCGUAAAGGGCUCGUAGGCGGCCAACUAAGUCAGACGUGAAAUCCCUCAGCUUAACUGGGGAACUGCGUCUGAUACUGGAUGGCUUGGAUUCGGGAGAGGAAUGCGGAAUUCCAGGUGUAGCGGUGAAAUGCGUAGAUAUCUGGAGGAACACCGGUGGCGAAGGCGGCAUUCUGGACCGAUAUUGACGCUGAGGAGCGAAAGCCGGGGGAGCAAACGGG